rnacentral:tRNA from 1 species
GCGCUCGUGGCGGAACUUCGGCAGACGCGCUGGACCCAGGAUCCAGUGCUCCGCAAGGAGCGUGGGGGUUCGACUCCCCCCGAGCGCA